rnacentral:rRNA from 1 species
GAAGGUUACGUGGAUAAGUACCAAAGGAGUAAUCCACUUUGAGAUGGGCCCGCGUCGCAUUAGCUAGUUGGUAAGGUAACGGCUUACCAAGGCGACGAUGCGUAGCCGACCUGAGAGGGUGAUCGGCCACAUUGGAACUGAGAGACGGUCCAGACUCCUACGGGAGGCAGCAGUGGGGAAUAUUGCACAAUGGGCGAAAGCCUGAUGCAGCAACGCCGCGUGGGUGAUGAAGGUUUUCGGAUUGUAAAGCCCUGUCUUUUGGGACGAUAAUGACGGUACCAAAGGAGGAAGCCACGGCUAACUACGUGCCAGCAGCCGCGGUAAUACGUAGGUGGCGAGCGUUGUCCGGAUUUACUGGGCGUAAAGGGUGCGUAGGCGGAUAUUUAAGUGGGAUGUGAAAACCCCGGGCUUAACCUGGGGACUGCAUUUCAAACUGGAUAUCUGGAGUGCAGGAGAGGAAAGCGGAAUUCCUAGUGUAGCGGUGAAAUGCGUAGAAUAAGGAAAGAAAA